UCUCCGUUGGUGAACCAGCGGAGGGAUCAUUACAGAGUUGUAAAACUCCCAAACCCAUGUGAACAUACCUGUUGCCUCGGUGGCCUACCCGGUAGCUACCCUGUAGCUACCCUGUAGUCCGCCGACGGAACUUAAAACUCUUGUUAAUUUUUGUCAAAUCUGAAUCAAAACUAAGAAAUAAGUUAAAACUUUCAACAACGGAUCUCUUGGUUCUG
rnacentral:misc_RNA from 1 species